ACCAGAAACCCUAGGGCUUUUGUAUCUUGCGCUGCGCCUCUUGUUCGACGGGGUUCUGAAAGAGAAGUCGGAGUUUCGAGAGCGUCCUUGUUUAUCGCCAUGAGAGCCAAGUGGAAGAAGAAGAGAAUGAGGAGGUUGAAGAGGAAGCGCCGAAAGAUGAGGCAGAGAUCUAAGUAGGAGGAGUACCAGAAGAGUCUUUGUUCUUACGUUUUGUUAGAUCCUAGGCUCUGCUUAUGCUGUCUCUAUCACGCUUUUUUGUCCUGUCAUAUUUUAGAUUUUCCUGUCUUCAUUUUGUUGAAUUUUGGCUUGCAGACUUUGAUUGUAAUGAUAUGAAGUUUCAGUUUCGCUGAAUCCACCUGUCUAAUGGAAAUUUUUAUCUUUUGGAGAAAUGUUCAUUUUAUGUUUA